rnacentral:rRNA from 1 species
GACGAACGCUGGCGGCGUGCCUAACACAUGCAAGUCGAACGGAAAGGCCUUGUUUUUGUGGGGUCUUCGAGUGGCGAACGGGUGUGUAUCACGCGAGUAACCUCCGCCUUUCUUUGGGAUACAUCCAGGAAAAUGGGGCUCUUACAGGACAGGAGCUCUUGCUGCAUGGUGGUGGUGGGAAAGUUUCGGCGGUUGGGGAUGGACUGGCGGCUUAUCAGCUUGUUGGUGGGUUAGUGGCUUACAAAGGCUUUGACGGGUAGCCGGCCUUAGAAGUUGACCAGGCACAUUGGGACUGAGAUACGGCCCAGACUCGUACGGGAGGCAACGGUGGGGAGUAUUGCACAAUGGGCGGAAGCCAGUGGCAGCAGCGCCGCGUGCGGGAUGACGGCCUGCUGGUGGUAAACCGCGGUCGCCGGUGACGAAGCGUGAGUGACGGUAAUGGAUAAAGAAGCACAGGCUAACUUCGGG